GACGAACGCUGGCGGCGUGCUUAACACAUGCAAGUCGAACGAUGAAGCCUUACUUGCUGGGUGGAUUAGUGGCGCACGGGUGUGUAACACGUGAGUAACCUGCUCCUUACCCUGGGAUAAGCGCUGGAAACGGCGUCUAAUACUGGAUAUUACCUUUCAUCACAUUGUGUUUGGUGGAAAGAUUUUUUGGAUUGGGCUGGACUCGCGGCAUAUCAGCUUGAUGGUGUGGUAUUGGCUCAACAUGGCGAAGCCGGGUAGCCGGCCUGGGAGGGUGACCGGCCACACUGGGACUGGGACACGGCCCAGACUCCUACGGGAGGCAGCAGUGGGGGAUAUUGCACAAUGGGCGGAAGCCUGAUGCAGCAACGCCGCGUGAGGGAUGACGGCCUUCGGGUUGUAAACCGCGUGUAGUAGGGAAGAAGCGUAAGUGACGGUACCUAAAGAAAAAGCACCGGCUAACUACGUG
rnacentral:rRNA from 1 species